rnacentral:rRNA from 1 species
UACGUAGGGUGCGAGCGUUAAUCGGAAUUACUGGGCGUAAAGCGUGCGCAGGCGGUCUUGUAAGACAGUCGUGAAAUCCCUGGGCUUAACCUAGGAACUGCGAUUGUGACUGCAAGGCUAGAGUGUGUCAGAGGGGGGUGGAAUUCCACGUGUAGCAGUGAAAUGCGUAAAGAUGUGGAGGAACACCGAUGGCGAAGGCAGCCCCCUGGGAUAACACUGGCGCUCAUGCACGAAAGCGUGGGGAGCAAACAGG